AGAACGAACGCUGGCGGCAGGCUUAACACAUGCAAGUCGAACGCGUGUAGCAAUACACGAGUGGCGCACGGGUGAGUAACGCGUGGAUAUCUGCCUUUUGGUUUGGAAUAACCCCGGGAAACUGGGGCUAAUACCGGAUGGUUCCUACGGGAUAAAGAUUUAUCGCCAAAAGAUGAGUCCGCGUCCGAUUAGCUAGUUGGUGGGGUAAUGGCCUACCAAGGCGACGAUCGGUAGCUGGUCUGAGAGGACGAUCAGCCACACUGGGACUGAGACACGGCCCAGACUCCUACGGGAGGCAGCAGUGGGGAAUAUUGGACAAUGGGGGCAACCCUGAUCCAGCCAUGCCGCGUGAGUGAUGAAGGCCUUCGGGUUGUAAAGCUCUUUUGGCGGGGACGAUGAUGACGGUACCCGCAGAAUAAGCCCCGGCUAACUUCGUGCCAGCAGCCGC
rnacentral:rRNA from 1 species